GUGGGGAAUCUUCCGCAAUGGACGAAAGUCUGACGGAGCAACGCCGCGUGAGUGAUGAAGGUCUUCGGAUUGUAAAGCUCUGUUGUCGGGGACGAAUGUGCAGUAUUUGAAUAAAGUAGUGCAAUGACGGUACCUGACGAGGAAGCCACGGCUAACUACGUGCCAGCAGCCGCGGUAAUACGUAGGUGGCAAGCGUUGUCCGGAAUUAUUGGGCGUAAAGGGAGCGCAGGCGGGAAGGUAAGUCGGUCUUAAAAGUGCGGGGCUCAACCCCGUGAUGGGAUCGAAACUAUCUUUCUGGAGUGCAGGAGAGGAAAGUGGAAUUCCUAGUGUAGCGGUGAAAUGCGUAGAUAUUAGGAGGAACACCAGUGGCGAAGGCGACUUUCUGGACUGUAACUGACGCUGAGGCUCGAAAGCCGGGGGAGCGAACGGGAUUAGAAACCCGGGUAGUCC
rnacentral:rRNA from 1 species